rnacentral:misc_RNA from 1 species
AACGCACCUUGCACCCUUUGGUAUUCCGAAGGGUAUGCCUGUUUGAGUGUCUUGAACAUCUCAAAAGGAAAAACUUUGUUUGUUUUGCCUUUUGGUCUUUGAGCGUUUUUGCCAAGAAAUCCAAAGCCUCUUCUUUUCUGUUCCCUUUUUUAUUUUUUCCUCCCUUGUGUAAAAGCAAAAGACGAAUAAAAAAAAAGGGGGGCAUUAUGCAGGAAAGAAGUGGGUCGGAUUGGAUUGGCUCGCUUUAAAUACAUUAGCUGGGCUUUUCAUAUCGUCGAAGCUUUGUCCCUCAAUAUGCGUGAUAAUUUCUCAAUUUCUCGUGUAUGUUUUCUGUCGUAAAAAAACAGAAAGAGGUUCACUCUUUCAAUGUGUAUAUGCCUGCUGCUUAAAAACCAUGAACGUCUUUCGCUCGCUUUUUGGAAUCAAAAACCGAAUGCAAAAGGGAAACGUUCAAAAGCGAUGUAAUGCACAUUAACGUGUGUGUUAUCAUCAAAUUCAAGCUUUGACCUCAAAUCAGGUAGGACUACCCGCUGAACUUAA